AGUGAACGCUGGCGGUAGGCCUAACACAUGCAAGUCGAACGGCAGCACAGUAAGAGCUUGCUCUUACGGGUGGCGAGUGGCGGACGGGUGAGGAAUACAUCGGAAUCUACUUUUUCGGGGGGGAUAACGUAGGGAAACUUACGCUAAUACCGCAUACGACCUACGGGUGAAAGCAGGGGAUCUUCGGACCUUGCGCGACUGAAUGAGCCGAUGUCGGAUUAGCUAGUUGGCGGGGUAAAGGCCCACCAAGGCGACGAUCCGUAGCUGGUCUGAGCGGAUGAUCAGCCACACUGGAACUGGGCACCGGUCCAGACUCCUACGGGAGGCAGCGGAGGGAAUUAUUCGCCAAUGGCCGCAGCCCUAAUCCAGCCAUCCCGCGUGGGUGAAGAAGGCCUUCGGGUUGUAAAGCCCUUUUGUUGGGAAAGAAAAGCAGCAGAUUAAUACCCCGCUGUUCUGACGGUACCAAAAGAAUAAGCACCGCCUAACUUCGU
rnacentral:rRNA from 1 species